AUGGACUCCUUCGUGCAACCUUGUAAGCCAAGAUCAAAGGGCGAGGUCCCCACGAAUGUUGCAUCAUCCCACAGCAGUGGCACUGGCCCAAUCAUGCAUUAUGAAUUGCCAACUGCUGAUGCUCUAGAGGCUAAACUAGUUGUAGAAAGAGAUUAUGCUUCUACACUUAGAGAUAAAGUUGACAUGUUGAGGAAGCAAACAACACAAUCACAAGCAGUACUCAAGACAACCAUUAAAUAUUUGGUGGAUUUUAAAACGAAGCUAGCUAAGACUAACCACAUUGUUAAGGUCCCGAAGGAAAAAAGGAAAUUAAAUUCCCACUUGGUAAAUCAUAGGUGA
rnacentral:rRNA from 1 species